UCGUAGGCACCUGCGGAUGGAUCAUUUU
rnacentral:misc_RNA from 1 species